rnacentral:rRNA from 1 species
ACCCGCACAAGCAGCGGAGCAUGUGGUUUAAUUCGAAGCAACGCGAAGAACCUUACCAGAUCUUGACAUCCAAUUGACCAUCUUUUAAUCGAGAUUUUGCCUUCGGGUACAAUUGAGACAGGUGGUGCAUGGUUGUCGUCAGCUCGUGUCGUGAGAUGUUGGGUUAAGUCCCGCAACGAGCGCAACCCUUGUGUUUAGUUGCAAACAGGUCAAGCUGUGCACUCUAGACAGACUGCCGUGGACAACACGGAGGAAGUGGGGAUGACGUCAAGUCCUCAUGGCCUUUAUGACCAGGGCUACACACGUACUACAAUGGCCGAUACAAAGGGCAGCGACACUGCGAGGUGAAGCCAAUCCCGUAAAAUCGGUCUCAGUCCGGAUUGGAGUCUGCAACUCGACUCCAUGAAGUUGGAAUCGCUAGUAAUCGUGGAUCAGCAUGUCACGGUGAAUACGUUCCCGGGCCUU